rnacentral:rRNA from 1 species
UACGGAGGGGGGCUAGCGUUGUUCGGAAUUACUGGGCGUAAAGCGCACGUAGGCGAUUGGAAAGUCAGAGGUGAAAUCCCAGGGCUCAACCUUGGAACUGCCUUUGAAACUCCCAGUCUUGAGUUCGAGAGAGGUGAGUGGAAUUCCGAGUGUAGAGGUGAAAUUCGUAGAUAUUCGGAGGAACACCAGUGGCGAAGGCGGCUCACUGGCUCGGUACUGACGCUGAGGUGCGAAAGCGUGGGGAGCAAACAGG